rnacentral:rRNA from 1 species
CGACCGGCGCACGGGUGAGUAACACGUAUGCAACCUGGUCGUCACAGGUGGAUAACCGGAAGAAAUUCCGACUAAUACAGCAUAACACUCCUGAGGGACAUCCUUCGGGAGUCAAAGGAGGCAACUCCGGUGACGGAUGGGCAUGCGGCGCAUUAGGUAGUUGGUAGGGUAACGGCCUACCAAGCCGACGAUGCGUAGGGGUUCUGAGAGGAAGGUCCCCCACAUUGGAACUGAGACACGGUCCAAACUCCUACGGGAGGCAGCAG